GUGUACGUAUAUAUAAAUAGGUUUAAUUUUUUAUACAUAAAUGCAAUUAAUUAAGUAAGUGUAAUAAAAAAAUGCACUUUUUUUAUAUGUUCUCGUUAGUCAUGAAAGUGUUUCUCAUAUGUAAGCGAUUGCUCGUGUUACGAGGCUAAUGGAUAGGUUUAGUUGGAGAGGCAAAAAACAAAUAGAAUAGGCAUUGUAGAAAUUUUUUCUGGAAUCAUCAUUAAUUUGGAGAUUUACAGGUUCGAUUGUCAUAUCUUCUUCUAUGCUUUUUUGGACUGAGAAUAUAACAGAGAAAUGAAGUUCUCACGCGGCUAAAAAAUAUCACAUAUAUGGGAGAAGCUCAGCCGAAAUAUUAAAAGUCGUUGAUGUCAACAUUGUUACGUAAAUGCUACUGUCACAGGAAUAGAGUAUAACACAGCUUUUUAUUGGAAUACCAAAACUAUAAGGUAUAACUCUUUAUAGUUUAAAAUACGGGUUCGACAGACUUUAAAACUUAUUAUACUAUUAGUUUCGACAGUACUAACAUUCUACUGGUUGCAAUUACUUUAUAAGGACUAAUUUUUCAUCACACGGAGGAGAGUAUGUUCAUUUUCGCAAAUACACAGAACGAAUUAGCUAGAUUAAG